AUUGAACGCUGGCGGCAUGCCUUACACAUGCAAGUCGAACGGUAGAGUAGCAAUACUCGAGAGUGGCGAACGGGUGAGUAAUAUAUCGGAACGUGCCCAGUCGUGGGGGAUAACGUAGAGAAAUUUACGCUAAUACCGCAUACGAUCUAAGGAUGAAAGCGGGGGAUUCGCAAGAACCUCGCGCGAUUGGAGCGGCUGAUAUCAGAUUAGGUUGUUGGUGAGGUAAAAGCUCACCAAGCCGACAAUCUGUAGCUGGUUUGAGAGAACGACCAGCCACACUGGGACUGAGACACGGCCCAGACUCCUACGGGAGGCAGCAGUGGGGAAUUUUGGACAAUGGGCGAAAGCCUGAUCCAGCAAUGCCGCGUGCAGGAAGAAGGCCUUCGGGUUGUAAACUGCUUUUGUACGGAACGAAAAGGCUCUUUCUAAUAAAGAGGGCCCAUGACGGUACCGUAAGAAUAAGCACCGGCUAACUACGUGCCAGCAGCCGCGGUAAUACGUAGGGUGCGAGCGUUAAUCGGAAUUACUGGGCGUAAAGCGUGCGCAGGCGGUUCUAUAAGACAGAUGUGAAAUCCCCGGGCUCAACCUGGGAAUGGCAUUUGUGACUGUAGAGCUAGAGUACGGUAGAGGGGGAUGGAAUUCCGCGUGUAGCAGUGAAAUGCGUAGAUAUGCGGAGGAACACCGAUGGCGAAGGCAAUCCCCUGGACCUGUACUGACGCUCAUGCACGAAAGCGUGGGGGAGCAAACAGGAUUAGAUACCCUGGUAGUCCACGCCCUAAACGAUGUCAACUGGUUGUUGGGUGCAUUAGUACUCAGUAACGAAGCUAACGCGUGAAGUUGACCGCCUGGGGAGUACGGG
rnacentral:rRNA from 1 species